AUAUUUCUUUGGCAUUGAGGUGAUCCUAUUACGUCAGAGAUGUUUGAGGCGCAGGUACGGUACCCACCCGUGUAGUAUUCCUUUCUUAUCUGGAAAUCAACAGGCCAUUUGAUGAUAAGCACAAAAUCCAACCGAGACCCAAAUGGCUGUUUCUUGGAAUCGUACUUUUGCCCGCUCAAGGUCUGACUUAGCUCUGAUUCACCUGGAACCGGCUUCGCGACAGUUCAAGUUCAACUCUUGGCUUUGGACCAAGAGAACAAGAAAGAGAGAGCGAGAGAGAUCUGUGCUCUGAUGCAAAAGGAAAAGUGUGGGGCAAGCAAUCUUCAGUUGCGAUCAACGUCACAAGGCGGAGAGUCGUACGAUCGAUCCACUUGUCGGCAGAGCAGAGGAUGACGGUGCGCCGUAUGUUUCGUUUCACUCACACAACUUACUUUCUUCCCAAUUGAAACGUUGAUUUUGUUAAAU